CGCGAUAUAGUGUAACGGAAACACAUUGGCCUCAUGACCCGAAGUUCUAGGUUCGACUCCUAGUAUCGCUUA